UUGAGAGUAUCACACUUUAAUAAUCACACAACAAAAAGACUUCAGUUCCGUGCUGAUCUCAUUACUCAUAACCCGCAGCAGUCAGACGGCAAACAUGGAGCAGUACACCACCACCACAACAGCUAGUGGAGAGCAGAUAGUGUUGCAGGCCAGCAGCGGACAGAUCCAACAACAGGGCACAGUGACUGCGGUGCAGUUGCAGACUGAGCCUCAGGUAGGCCAGACUGCGGCCCAGCAGGUCCU